rnacentral:piRNA from 1 species
UGAAUUUCAUGGUCAUGGAAUUUAGUGUC